AUGAUAAUUAUAGACUAAAUCAUAUGGCAGUCUCAACAUUUGGCAAUUUGUGCAUGUUUUCUGAAGCUGGCAAACCAAACAUGGACAGGACCGUGCUUUUGGGUAAAAUGGAACUAAAUAACAACCAUGGGUAAGAUCGAUACCAAAAACUAGGUACUGUCAAGUCCAGCAUGGUAUUUCAGAUCCUUUGUAGUGCCCAUGUUUAUCAACCAGUAGUGAAAACAUUAACACAACAAUCAAGGGCAGAAAUUAGAAAGGGAGAACAUUCUAAACCAGUACCUGCAGUUUAGGUCGAAGGGCCUCAAGUGGUCCUUUGGGCUUCUCUACACCUUG